GACGAACGCUGGCGGCGUGCCUAAUACAUGCAAGUCGAGCGGACCGGAUUGGGGCUUGCCUUGAUUCGGUCAGCGGCGGACGGGUGAGUAACACGUGGGCAACCUGCCCGCAAGACCGGGAUAACUCCGGGAAACCGGAGCUAAUACCGGAUAACACCGAAGACCGCAUGGUCUUCGGUUGAAAGGCGGCCUUUGGGCUGUCACUUGCGGAUGGGCCCGCGGCGCAUUAGCUAGUUGGUGAGGGAACGGCUCACCAAGGCGACGAUGCGUAGCCGGCCUGAGAGGGUGACCGGCCACACUGGGACUGAGACACGGCCCAGACUCCUACGGGAGGCAGCAGUAGGGAAUCUUCCGCAAUGGGCGAAAGCCUGACGGAGCGACGCCGCGUGAGCGAAGAAGGCCUUCGGGUCGUAAAGCUCUGUUGUGAGGGACGAAGGAGCGUCGUUCGAAGAGGGCGGCGCGGUGACGGUACCUCACGAGAAAGCCCCGGCUAACUACGUG
rnacentral:rRNA from 1 species